rnacentral:rRNA from 1 species
CGGACGGGUGAGUAACGCGUGGGUAACCUGCUUCACACUGGGGGAUAACAGUUAGAAAUAGCUGCUAAUACCGCAUAAGCGCACAGUUCCGCAUGGAACAGUGUGAAAAACUCCGGUGGUGUGAGAUGGACCCGCGUCUGAUUAGCCAGUUGGCGGGGUAACGGCCCACCAAAGCGACGAUCAGUAGCCGGCCUGAGAGGGUGAACGGCCACAUUGGGACUGAGACACGGCCCAA